rnacentral:rRNA from 1 species
UGGGGAAUUUUGGACAAUUGGGCGAAAGCCUGAUGCAGCAACGCCGCGUGAGUGAUGAAGGCCUUAGGGUUGUAAAGCUCUUUCAGCUGGGAAGAUAAUGACGGUACCAGCAGAAGAAGCCCCGGCUAACUCCGUGCCAGCAGCCGCGGUAAUACGGAGGGGGCUAGCGUUGUUCGGAAUUACUGGGCGUAAAGCGCACGUAGGCGGAUUAGUCAGUCAGAGGUGAAAUCCCAGGGCUCAACCCUGGAACUGCCUUUGAUACUGCUAGUCUUGAGGUCGAGAGAGGUGAGUGGAAUUCCGAGUGUAGAGGUGAAAUUCGUAGAUAUUCGGAGGAACACCAGUGGCGAAGGCGGCUCACUGGCUCGAUACUGACGCUGAGGUGCGAAAGCGUGGGGNGCAAAACAGGAUUAGAUACCCUGGUAGUCCACGCCGUAAACGAUGAUGCCAGUCGUCGGGUUGCAUGCAAUUCGGUGACACACCUAAGGGNUUAAACAUUCCGCCUGGGGAGUACGGUCGCAAGAUUAAAACUCAAAUGAAUUGACGGGGUCUAGCUG